CAUUAUUUGACAUUCAUUGUAGUCUUAUAAGGUUUGA
rnacentral:sRNA from 1 species